rfam:Asian citrus Psyllid, Diaphorina citri - Florida Strain, whole genome shotgun sequence.
GCUCCCAUGGCAUAGUGGUCACUGCACUCGCCUUGCAUGCAGGAGACCCGGGUUCGAUUCCCGGCAGGGUCA